CCAAUAGCGUAUAUUAAAGUUGUUGCAGUUAAAAAGCUCGUAGUUGAAUUUCGGGAUCAAGGAAUCGGUCAUGCCUCGGUAUGUACUGGUUUUAUUGGUUCUCACCUUCUAAAGAACCAUAAUGUCAUUUAUUUGAUGUUAUGGGGAAUUAGGACUGUUACCUUGAAAAAAUUAGAGUGUUUAAAGCAGGCGCACGCUUGAAUACAUUAGCAUGGAAUAAUGAAAUAGGACGUUUGAUUCUAUUUUGUUGGUUUCUAGGAUCGACGUAAUGAUUAAUAGGGAUAGUUGGGGGCAUUAGUAUUCAAUUGUCAGAGGUGAAAUUCUUGGAUUUAUUGAAGACUAACUACUGCGAAAGCAUGUGCCAAGGAUGUUUUCAUUAAUCAAGAACGAAAGUUAGGGGAUCGAAGACGAUCAGAUACCGUCGUAGUCUUAACCAUAAACUAUGCCGACUAGGGAUCGGAUGAUGUUAAUUUUUUAAUGACUCAUUCGGCGCCUUACG
rnacentral:rRNA from 1 species